UUUCCGUAGGUGAACCUGCGGAAGGAUCAUUAUUGUAUAAUCGAGGUGCGAGGGCUGUCGCUGACCCGAAAGGACGUGCACGCCCGAGUGCCCUCACACACAUCCAUCUCACCCCUAUGUGCACCACCGCGUGGGUCCCCCUUUGGCUUGUUCGGAGGGGGGCUUACGUUUUCACACAAACUUUGUAUGCAGUGUAGAAUGUAUUUUUUGUUUUUGCGAUCACGCAAUCAAUACAACUUUCAACAACGGAUCUCUUGGCUCUC
rnacentral:misc_RNA from 1 species